rnacentral:rRNA from 1 species
AUUGAACGCUGGCGGCAGGCUUAACACAUGCAAGUCGAGCGGGGUGAUGGUGCUUGCACUAUCACUUAGCGGCGGACGGGUGAGUAAUGCUUAGGAAUCUGCCUAUUAGUGGGGGACAACAUCUCGAAAGGGAUGCUAAUACCGCAUACGUCCUACGGGAGAAAGCAGGGGAUCACUUGUGACCUUGCGCUAAUAGAUGAGCCUAAGUCGGAUUAGCUAGUUGGUGGGGUAAAGGCCUACCAAGGCGACGAUCUGUAGCGGGUCUGAGAGGAUGAACCGCCACACUGGGACUGAGACACGGCCCAGGCGCCUCCGGGAGGCAGCAGUGGGGAAUAUUGGACAAUGGGGGGAACCCUGAUCCAGCCAUGCCGCGUGUGUGAAGAAGGCCUUAUGGUUGUAAAGCACUUUAAGCGAGGAGGAGGCUCUUUUGGUUAAUACCCAAGAUGAGUGGACGUUACUCGCAGAAUAAGCACCGGCUAACUCUGUGCCAGCCGCCGCGGUAA